CUUUGUCACAGUUUGUAAGUGGCUGAAAAAGUCUCAUUUUAAACGUUAGGAAACGGAUUGGUCGCCUGCUGCCGUAAAAUCAGUGACGAAGACGGAAAUGAAAAGUUUUAAAAUUUCAGGUGGAUAUGAGCCUUUGAGGAAUCUUUGAAAAUCACUUAAAACUUGAGAAGGGUGAGGGGAACAGCAGACCUUCGACAUCUAUCCCCACCUGGGACCAGGACACACGCAUUUCUGUGGUGAUCGAUGGAGACGAUGGCAGUAAUGGCCUUAACAGCCAAGCAUGGAGGGAGAUCACUGGCCAUCGAUCCGAGCAGCUGUGGGACCGCUGUAUGUCCAAGUUAAAGGUCAGUCUCUUAUUGGACAGGACAUCUUCCUGGGAUUGCGGAGUGGUUUUCAGACUGUCAAAUCCAGCAUGUUCCUUUGCACCUCAAAUCAUGGCAGCACAGAGCAAAGUGUCCUUGAAACAUAUGCUCUGUCCGUAAUUAAAGGGGAGCUCAAGAAAGGCCCAAAGUAGCUAGAAACAUAGUCGAUGUUUGUCGAUGCUGCACUUCUUACCCAGUUCAAGACAUAUCAGUCGUACAAUGUGAUCACCAUGACGUAAUAUUUGGGGGAGAAUCAGCCAAAUAAAACAUGAUGGUGUAAUAAAAUCA